AUCAUUACACAAUAACAAGGCGGGCUGGACACCCCCCGCUGGGCACUGCUUCACGGCGUGCGCGGUGGGGCCGGCCCUGCUGAAUUAUUCACCCGUGUCUUUUGCGUACUUCUUGUUUCCUGGGUGGGCUCGCCCGCCCUCAGGACCAACCACAAACCUUUUGCAAUAGCAAUCAGCGUCAGUAACAACGUAAUUAAUUACAACUUUCAACAACGGAUCUCUUGGUUCUGGCAUCGAUGAAGAACGCAGCGAAAUGCGAUACGUAGUGUGAAUUGCAGAAUUCAGUGAAUCAUCGAAUCUUUGAACGCACAUUGCGCCCUUUGGUAUUCCAAAGGGCAUGCCUGUUCGAGCGUCAUUUGUACCCUCAAGCUUUGCUUGGUGUUGGGCGUCUUUUGUCUCCAGUUCGCUGGAGACUCGCCUUAAAGUCAUUGGCAGCCGGCCUACUGGUUUCGGAGCGCAGCACAAGUCGCGCUCUUCGCCAGCCAAGGUCAGCGUCCAGCAAGCCUUUUUUUCAACCUUUGA
rnacentral:rRNA from 1 species